rnacentral:rRNA from 1 species
GAUGAACGCUGGCGGCGUGCUUAACACAUGCAAGUCGAACGGUGAAGGCGGAGCUUGCUCUGCUGGAUCAGUGGCGAACGGGUGAGUAACACGUGAGCAAUCUGCCCCUGACUCUGGGAUAAGCGCUGGAAACGGCGUCUAAUACUGGAUACGAGCUGCGAAGGCAUCUUCAGCAGCUGGAAAGAAUUUCGGUCAGGGAUGAGCUCGCGGCCUAUCAGCUUGUUGGUGAGGUAAUGGCUCACCAAGGCGUCGACGGGUAGCCGGCCUGAGAGGGUGACCGGCCACACUGGGACUGAGACACGGCACAGACUCCUACGGGAGGCAGCAGUGGGGAAUAUUGCACAAUGGGCGAAAGCCUAAUGCAGCAACGCCGCGUGAGGGACGACGGCCUUCGGGUUGUAAACCUCUUUUAGCAGGGAAGAAGCGAAAGUGACGGUACCUGCAGAAAAAGCGCCGGCUAACUACGUG